UUGGCAGUCAUUGUGCAGGAACUUUGGUGACUCUAGAUAACGUCGGGCCGAUCGCACGUCCCCGUUACGGUGACGAUGCAUUCGGAUGUCUGCCCUAUCAACUUUUGAUGGUACUUUCUGCACCUACCAUGGUAACCACAGGUAAUGGGGAAUCAGGGUUCAAUUCAUGAGAGGGAGCCUGAGAAACGGCUACCACAUCCAAGGAAGGUAGCAGGCACCCAAAUUGCCCACUCCCGACGCUGGUAGGUAGUGACAAA